rnacentral:sRNA from 1 species
UAUUCUGCCCCACGGGGAAGGAUGAGAAGCUUCGACCAAGGUUCGACUCGAGCGAAGGGCAACGGCCCGAAGGGCGAAGCGCUUUAGCGCCGAGUAAUCCUUCCCCCACCACUG